UAUAAUACUACCAGGAGAUAAGUUGAAACACCCUGCAAAUUUUGUAGUACGUCUAAUCAUAGUAUGCCAUUAAUGUUUUGACGUGUUAUUUUUUUAACCGAAUAAACAGCGAAUUAGUCGCGAAAAUUGGCUGAAAACAUAUAAAUACUUUAGGUAAAAUGAUGCAAGAUGAGCAUCUGGGUGGUCCUCCAAGACGAAAUGUUUUUAGUCAAGCAAUAGGAAGAAUAUCACAGUUAUAUCAAAGAUAUUUGGAUCUUUGGACACCUCACGUAGUGUCAAGAUGGACAGUGGCUUUUUUUCUAGUAUUUGUUUUUUCUUUACGUAUACUUUUAUCAGAGGGAUGGUACAUUGUUACAUAUGCACUAGCAAUUUAUCAUCUAAAUUUAUUCAUAGCAUUCCUUACUCCUAAAAUUGAUCCUGGAAUGGAUUUUGAUGAUGGUGAAGGACCAGAAUUACCUACAAGAUCUAACGAAGAGUUUAGACCAUUUAUUAGAAGGUUACCUGAAUUUAAAUUCUGGUAUUCUGUGAUGAAAUCUACAAUUAUUGCUAUGAUAUGUACUAUGUUUGAUUGUUUCAAUGUACCAGUAUUUUGGCCCAUACUUGUCAUGUACUUCAUAACGCUAUUUUGCAUUACUAUGAAGCGUCAAAUAAAGCAUAUGAUCAAAUACAGAUAUUUGCCGUUCACUUAUGGAAAACCAAGUUACCAGAAUCACGAGGAUACUUCGAGGUUAAUACCUUCAAAGUGAAUUGGUGUGAAGUAUGUUUGUUGAUGGAGGUGCAUAAGUGUGUAGAUUUCUAUUUUCCCAGUACCAUGUGAAAAAAAUUUUUGGAUUUGAAAGCAGUCAGAUUCUUUUAUCAAUGACAUUACAUAUAAAUAAAAUCAUUGCCUUCUACAAGAAAAGGUUUAAUCCAUAAAAGGUGUAACACUAAAAGUAUAAUGUUAUAUGCUAUAUAAACUGAAUUGUCGUAAUAUAUUUGUAUCAUAAAACUUGUACAAAGUAUUGUUAGGUCUUACAUAAAGUGGUCACAAUAACAAUGUGAACAUUACAGCAGUUGUUAAUGUAAUAUUAAAUUAACAUUGGAUGUGAAGGAAAACAAAGAUAAUUCAUACAUAUAUUAGAUACAAGCACACGCAUCACGUACGAUAUUGUAUAACACGUAUAUAAAUCUUGAUACAUGUAAAAUACGAUAGUCGGUCAUCUGAUAUCACUAAAUAACGUGAAAUGGAAAAGUUUGCGAUAUGUACACGGACUUGGGAAUAUAGCGAUGCCCAACGUUUUACGGAAGCGAUUGUUAAUAAGAGUCCACUUGUGGAAGUUUGAUGAUGGGUGUCGUAGAAUUUAAACAGGGAAAUUGAUUUCCCUCUGAUUCGAACGCGUUCGUGUUUCUCUUGAGCUGAACAGACGUGAAAUGAAGUAAUGAGAUUAAAAAAAUAAUAAAAAGAAAAGCGAAAAGGAGAAUAAAAAAGAACAGAAGAGAAAAUGGAGCGAAGCGAAUGUGGAGGAGGCGAAAAUGGCGAAGCACGAAUGGAACGUGUGAAUGGGCAAGAAUGUGAGGCUACACUUUUCCUAACGAAAAUGGUAAUUCAAAAUAAAAGCAUCGAUGCAUUGUUGUAUAUCCUCA